GCGGGCGUGGUGAAACUGGUAGACACAAGGGACUUAAAAUCCCUCGGCUAUGCCGUACGGGUUCGAUUCCCGUCGCCCGCA
rnacentral:tRNA from 1 species